UUUCACAGCAACCCAUAUGGUGCUGUGUUUCAGAUUUGUCACCAAAACAAUAUUGAUAACACACCAAUGUUUCAGCUAUCACUGAGUGGUGCUUGAACAACAUCAAGACCUCUGCCACGCUGUCCCCUGAAGCACGAAGGCUGGAGGCCUGCUGGUGGGCAAGAGAUUGGGAGGGGGCACAGUUGUCCCAGACUGACUGAAGGGAUAUUCCAUAUCUCAUAAGAUCACGUUCAGCAAUGAAAGGUGGAGGGGCAAGUUUUUUCCAAAGUUGCCUUUGCCUACAGGGCAGCUGGACACCAGUUUGCUGUUAUGAAGUGGUGUUUAUAUGCAGACUUGAACAGAAAUAGAUCGACAAAUAUGCCUGAGUGCUCUCCUGAAUGAUUGCCAAAAUCUGUACACAAACGAAAGAGGGUCUGCUCUAGUUUAUUCGAAAGAUAUUACUGGAAGAGAAAAAAAUGAUUGCUUUUGAGAGAAGAAGAUGCGCCAGAGGCUGCAUGACCUGAAAAUCUAGUAUUUUCCUUUUGUAUAAUACUGAUAUUACGAGAGGGCAAUGUCACAGUUCAUGAGAACAGUCUUGAAUAUCAUGACACUCAGCAAGUAUGUGAGUUGAUGGGAUGCGGCAGGAAGACAUGCACAUACUUAUAGUGACAGUAUUUGUGGAGAUAUCCUGGAUUGCAGGAAACAAGAUAAUUCAUACAAGCUGUGCAAUAGGAACUGCUGUGUUUAGGCCCAUCGAACAACGAGGAGGUAUAAGUGAAACAUGACAACUUCAUAGUUCUCAAAUAAAUAAAUAAAUAACCCUACUGAGACUGUGAGUUCAAGGCUCAGAAGGAAUAUUACAAAACAGCUGCCUGAAGAAACAUAAGUAUAUGUGGAACUUGAGAGAAGUACUCUGGAGAACUUUUGCAAAACUUACUGAGUAAAAGCAUCCUCAGACAAAUGGGAAGAACUGAGUGUCUCUGAAAAUUCCUUGAAAAAAGUUUAGGAGUGUGAGGCUUCCUCAAUGCAAUACCUCAGGGCACAAAUAUGUUUGAGUAAUACCAUACUAGGUGUGACAGACAUCCUGAUUUGGAGGUUUAGACUUGUAUUCUUCGUUAUUACAUUCCUGCAGAGAGGAAUGCAUAACUAUGGGGUCUUCUUGAUGUUAAAAGUAUUUCCAGAACAUUUCACAGAGUGAUUUGAGUAUGUGGUAAUCUUGUUUUGCAAUUUGUGUAGAGAUGUCCAUCAACUGAGUCACUUUUAGGAGGCUACAGAACUUGGCACUUAAAAGGUUGUAUCUUUUAUUGGUACAGUGGUUUACAACAGUGAUACAAUGCUCAAUGUCACAACAUUAGCUUCUUAAUUUUAGGUGUAGUACUUAUUACAUUAAGUAAAUUAAUUUUUAGCUAUCUUCCUAGAUAAAUUACAAUACUUCAUAUUCUUAAAUGCAACAGUUUUUCAGUGUAGUCCAUGACAACUACAUGAUUGUAUGGCAAAAUAAAUUAGAACAUGCUACUCACCAUUUAUAUUAAAACAGUAUUUUUACAGCAGUGGCUCAAAACACUGCAUCUUUCAGUUAUGCUUCUUUAAUGCUCUAGGCCACUACUGCAGAACAGUCUUAUUUUUAUAAGCUGAUGGAAAGAUUAGGUGUCAAAUUUAAUAAACCCUUUGGCUCUUUUUCCAUUAUUCUCUGCUGUGGGUCACCUCUGCUUUGAAGUAGAAUAUUUUUUCAUUUGGUGGUGGCAAUAAUCCAAAUAUAUAAACCACCAUAUAUCAUUUGAUAUAAUUUGUAUUGAUCGACAGGUUUAAAGCAGACCUGUAUUAAUGAUUUUUUUUUAUAUAAUAUAAAUGGUUCAGACAGACUAGGGUAAAAAUCCCAUUACUAAAGUACAGAGAAAGCUGUCUUUGGCUGAAUAAAAAGUUGAUUUCUUCUGCACUAAAAUAUUUUAAAAACUGGGUAUGAGUAACUCCAGGUUUAAGAAAAACAAUUCACAGAUUUUUGCUGAUAAACAAAAGUACUCAGUAAACUGAGUAGCUAAUAUCUGUACAUCUCUGAGAGUAAUCUCUUUCCCUCACACACAUUCUUCAGAUGUUAUUAUAUACAUGCUGAUUUGUAUAGGAAUUGUUUGACUAUAUGUUGAUUCUGGCUGCUAUAAAAUGUUAGUUUAUCCAAGACUGAAAUAUUUCUGUGGGAAUGUACCGGCACAGGCUAAACUUGCACAAGGAAAGAUCCUGUAGAGAAUCCCUGUCUGACUUGAUAACCAAAGAGCAAUCACAGCCUGGUAGCCAGAUAGUCAUCAGAACUAUAUGAAAUCAUAUUUAAGCCUGUGAUCUUAAUCAAGUAGAAAAGAGACAUGUCUCAUUUGUAAUGUAACA